GACGAACGCUGGCGGCGUGCUUAACACAUGCAAGUCGAACGGAAAGGCCCUGCUUGCAGGGUACUCGAGUGGCGAACGGGUGAGUAACACGUGGGUGAUCUGCCCUGCACUUCGGGAUAAGCCUGGGAAACUGGGUCUAAUACCGGAUAGGAGCCAUUUUUAGUGUGAUGGUUGGAAAGUUUUUUCGGUGUAGGAUGAGCUCGCGGCCUAUCAGCUUGUUGGUGGGGUAAUGGCCUACCAAGGCGGCGACGGGUAGCCGGCCUGAGAGGGUGGACGGCCACAUUGGGACUGAGAUACGGCCCAGACUCCUACGGGAGGCAGCAGGGGGGAAUAUUGCACAAUGGGCGCAAGCCUGAUGCAGCGACGCCGCGUGGGGGAUGACGGCCUUCGGGUUGUAAACUCCUUUCGCUAGGGACGAAGCUUUUUGUGACGGUACCUAGAGAAGAAGCACCGGCUAACUACGUG
rnacentral:rRNA from 1 species